GGAUCUCAUACGUCCAAGUGACCUUUCCUCCUAUGCAGACAAAGAGGAAAAGAACUCAACAGAAGAGGCACAGCUUAAGAGGACAGCACCAGGAACUAUAAUCAGAGGGCAAGGAAAGGAUGGGAACUUGUCUGAGAGAAAACACCUUCCCGUCAACCCAGCACCACAAGCUCAGGCUCAGAUUUUAAUGUGAUGCCAAGACUAACAUUUGUGUCACAAGCCCUCCUGGCUACAGGACCUGGCAACACUCAGCAGUGGUGUCCUGCUGGCAUGGCUAAAUCACGGUGGGACACUGUUAUAAACAUUCAAAGGACAAUUUUCUCCAUGUGAGAGCUCUUGCUUGGAAAGAAGAAAGAUUGUAAGUAGCCAAAAUGAAGGAGUAACCUCCAUUCCAACCUGUACUCUUUGAAGGCCUAAGCAUAUCAGAGAGAUGAUUUAAUAUAUGUGUUAACAUGAAUUGGAGAGGCCAUUCACACAACUGAGUCAUCCUAAAGAGAGGAAUGCUUGGAUCAAAGCAGUGACACAGUUCGUCUUCAUCACUUAUCAUAAUAAUCACUACUACAAAGGUGUAGAGAGAGCGUCUGCAACAAUUAUUUAAUCAAAUAACAUAUAAAAAGUUUUUGCAAUGACUGACAGACCUGACAGGGAGUAAGAACCCAAACUGCAGGGUUACUCAAGUUUAACAGUCUUUCAAAGCAUCCUUCCCUUCUUAAUGC